rnacentral:misc_RNA from 1 species
UACAGAGGGGGCGAGCGUUGUUCGGAAUUACUGGGCGUAAAGGGCGCGUAGGCGGCUUGCUAAGUCAGACGUGAAAUCCCAUGGCUCAACCAUGGAACUGCGUCUGAUACUGGCGAGCUUGAAUCCGGGAGAGGGAUGCGGAAUUCCAGGUGUAGCGGUGAAAUGCGUAGAUAUCUGGAGGAACACCGGUGGCGAAGGCGGCAUCCUGGACCGGCAUUGACGCUGAUGCGCGAAAGCCAGGGGAGCAAACGGG